rnacentral:rRNA from 1 species
GGCAGUCAGAGGCGAUGAAGGACGUGCUAAUCUGCGAAAAGCGUCGGUAAGGUGAUAUGAACCGUUAUAACCGGCGAUGUCCGAAUGGGGAAACCCAGUGCAAUUCGUUGCACUAUCGUUAACUGAAUACAUAGGUUAACGAGGCGAACCGGGGGAACUGAAACAUCUAAGUACCCCGAGGAAAAGAAAUCAACCGAGAUUCCCCCAGUAGCGGCGAGCGAACGGGGAGCAGCCCAGAGUCUGAAUCAGCUUGUGUGUUAGUGGAACGGUCUGGAAAGUCCGACGGUACAGGGUGAUAGUCCCGUACACCAAAAUGCACAGGUUGUGAACUCGAAGAGUAGGGCGGGACACGUGGUAUCCUGUCUGAAUAUGGGGGGACCAUCCUCCAAGGCUAAAUACUCCUGACUGACCGAUAGUGAACCAGUACCGUGAGGGAAAGGCGAAAAGAACCCCGGCGAGGGGAGUGAAAAAGAACCUGAAACCGUGUACGUACAAGCAGUGGGAGCACCUUCGGGUGUGACUGCGUACCUUUUGUAUAAUGGGUCAGCGACUUAUAUUCUGUAGCAAGGUUAACCGUAUAGGGGAGCCGCAGGGAAACCGAGUCUUAACUGGGCGUUAAGUUGCAGGGUAUAGACCCGAAACCCGGUGAUCUAGCCAUGGGCAGGUUGAAGGUUGGGUAACACUAACUGGAGGACCGAACCGACUAAUGUUGAAAAAUUAGCGGAUGACUUGUGGCUGGGGGUGAAAGGCCAAUCAAACCGGGAGAUAGCUGGUUCUCCCCGAAAGCUAUUUAGGUAGCGCCUCGUGAACUCAUCUUCGGGGGUAGAGCACUGUUUCGGCUAGGGGGUCAUCCCGACUUACCAACCCGAUGCAAACUACGAAUACCGAAGAAUGUUAUCACGGGAGACACACGGCGGGUGCUAACGUCCGUCGUGAAGAGGGAAACAACCCAGACCGCCAGCUAAGGUCCCAAAGUCAUGGUUAAGUGGGAAACGAUGUGGGAAGGCACAGACAGCCAGGAUGUUGGCUUAGAAGCAGCCAUCAUUUAAAGAAAGCGUAAUAGCUCACUGGUCGAGUCGGCCUGCGCGGAAGAUGUAACGGGGCUAAACCAUGCACCGAAGCUGCGGCAGCGACACUAUGUGUUGUUGGGUAGGGGAGCGUUCUGUAAGCCUGCGAAGGUGUGCUGUGAGGCAUGCUGGAGGUAUCAGAAGUGCGAAUGCUGACAUAAGUAACGAUAAAGCGGGUGAAAAGCCCGCUCGCCGGAAGACCAAGGGUUCCUGUCCAACGUUAAUCGGGGCAGGGUGAGUCGACCCCUAAGGCGAGGCCGAAAGGCGUAGUCGAUGGGAAACAGGUUAAUAUUCCUGUACUUGGUGUUACUGCGAAGGGGGGACGGAGAAGGCUAUGUUAGCCGGGCGACGGUUGUCCCGGUUUAAGCAUGUAGGCUGAUUGUCCAGGCAAAUCCGGAUAAUCAAGGCUGAGGUGUGAUGACGAGGCACUACGGUGCUGAAGUAACAAAUGCCCUGCUUCCAGGAAAAGCCUCUAAGCAUCAGGUAACAUUAAAUCGUACCCCAAACCGACACAGGUGGUCAGGUAGAGAAUACCAAGGCGCUUGAGAGAACUCGGGUGAAGGAACUAGGCAAAAUGGUGCCGUAACUUCGGGAGAAGGCACGCUGGUGUGUAGGUGAAGUCCCUGCGGAUGGAGCUGAGACCAGUCGAAGAUACCAGCUGGCUGCAACUGUUUAUUAAAAACACAGCACUGUGCAAACACGAAAGUGGACGUAUACGGUGUGACGCCUGCCCGGUGCCGGAAGGUUAAUUGAUGGGGUUAUCCGUAAGGAGAAGCUCUUGAUCGAAGCCCCGGUAAACGGCGGCCGUAACUAUAACGGUCCUAAGGUAGCGAAAUUCCUUGUCGGGUAAGUUCCGACCUGCACGAAUGGCGUAAUGAUGGCCAGGCUGUCUCCACCCGAGACUCAGUGAAAUUGAACUCGCUGUGAAGAUGCAGUGUACCCGCGGCAAGACGGAAAGACCCCGUGAACCUUUACUAUAGCUUGACACUGAACAUUGAGCCUUGAUGUGUAGGAUAGGUGGGAGGCUUUGAAGCGUGGACGCCAGUCUGCGUGGAGCCAACCUUGAAAUACCACCCUUUAAUGUUUGAUGUUCUAACGUUGGCCCCUGACCGGGGUUGCGGACAGUGUCUGGUGGGUAGUUUGACUGGGGCGGUCUCCUCCCAAAGCGUAACGGAGGAGCACGAAGGUUAGCUAAUCCUGGUCGGACAUCAGGAGGUUAGUGCAAUGGCAUAAGCUAGCUUGACUGCGAGCGUGACGGCGCGAGCAGGUGCGAAAGCAGGUCAUAGUGAUCCGGUGGUUCUGAAUGGAAGGGCCAUCGCUCAACGGAUAAAAGGUACUCCGGGGAUAACAGGCUGAUACCGCCCAAGAGUUCAUAUCGACGGCGGUGUUUGGCACCUCGAUGUCGGCUCAUCACAUCCUGGGGCUGAAGUAGGUCCCAAGGGUAUGGCUGUUCGCCAUUUAAAGUGGUACGCGAGCUGGGUUUAGAACGUCGUGAGACAGUUCGGUCCCUAUCUGCCGUGGGCGCUGGAGAAUUGAGGGGGGCUGCUCCUAGUACGAGAGGACCGGAGUGGACGCAUCACUGGUGUUCGGGUUGUCAUGCCAAUGGCACUGCCCGGUAGCUAAAUGCGGAAGAGAUAAGUGCUGAAAGCAUCUAAGCACGAAACUUGCCCCGAGAUGAGUUCUCCCUGAGACUUUAAGUCUCCUGAAGGAACGUUGAAGACGACGACGUUGAUAGGCCGGGUGUGUAAGCGCAGCGAUGCGUUGAGCUAACCGGUACUAAUGAACCGUGAGGCUUAACC